GCCCGCUCAGAACUCAAAGGAAUUGACGGGGCCCGCACAAGCGGUGGAGCAUGUGGUUUAAUUCGAUGAUACGCGAGGAACCUUACCUGGGCUCAAAUGUAUGUUGACGUAUUCUGAAAGGGAUACUUCUUCGGACAAUAUACAAGGUGCUGCAUGGUUGUCGUCAGCUCGUGCCGUGAGGUGUCGGGUUAAGUCCCAUAACGAGCGCAACCCCUAUCAUUAGUUGCCAUCAGGUCAAGCUGGGGACUCUAAUGAAACUGCCUACGCAAGUAGUGAGGAAGGUGGGGAUGACGUCAAAUCAGCACGGCCCUUACGGCCUGGGCUACACACGUGCUACAAUGGUCGGUACAAAGGGUUGCCAAGCCGCGAGGUGGAGCUAAUCCCAUAAAACCGAUCGUAGUCCGGAUCGCAGUCUGCAACUCGACUGCGUGAAGUCGGAAUCGCUAGUAAUCGUGAAUCAGAAUGUCACGGUGAAUACGUUCCCGGGCCUU
rnacentral:rRNA from 1 species